rnacentral:ncRNA from 1 species
UGGGUCCCGUUAAGUCCAUGGCGGGAAUAAAAUCUCGUGAAUUGCUGGAACACCCUCAGAGCUUUCUUCACCACAACGUGACUGGCGACAGUGAGCGUGAUGGUUAAAAAAGAAGAAAGAUUGGGCAAUCAGCAGCCAAGUAUCUUUGGAAACAAAGAUAAAGGUUCAACGACUAUUGAAACUUCCUAAAAUCCAAUAUAAUAGAGUCAUCCUAAAUAAGGUGGGAACUAUCUUGGAGAUAAUGGAAGGAGUAAAUCAUAGUAAUCGGCAACGGGGCUAUGAGGCGCGAGACAAAGAAGAAAUGAUACAAGCUAAUAAUUUCUUUCUUUGAUGAUAUAGUCUGAUCUCAUGUGAAAGCAUGAG